GAUAGCAAAUUGAUCUUCAAUUCAAAGGAGGAAUAAAGCGAUGAAUCAUCUGAUUAACCAAGUGAUCGAAGUCAUUAUCUCAUUUGAACUUGCUAGAUGAUCAUCAACAAGAAUCUACCAGUGGAGGUUUGUGCAGGUUUGGAGCUUUGGAUUCCUUGUUGAAACUACAAUACAUAAUUUCGAGCUUCUAGCUGUUCCAACUAUUAUCAAGGUGCAC